rnacentral:rRNA from 1 species
UAGGGAAUCUUCGGCAAUGGACGAAAGCCUGACCGAGCAACGCCGCGUGAGUGAAGAAGGUUUUCGGAUCGUAAAACUCUGUUGUUAGAGAAGAACAAGGACGUUAGUAACUGAACGUCCCCUGACGGUAUCUAACCAGAAAGCCACGGCUAACUACGUGCCAGCAGCCGCGGUAAUACGUAGGUGGCAAGCGUUGUCCGGAUUUAUUGGGCGUAAAGCGAGCGCAGGCGGUUUCUUAAGUCUGAUGUGAAAGCCCCCGGCUCAACCGGGGAGGGUCAUUGGAAACUGGGGGACUUGAGUGCAGAAGAGGGGGGUGGAAUUCCAUGUGUAGCGGUGAAAUGCGUAGAUAUGUGGAGGAACACCGGUGGCGAAGGCGGCUCUCUGGUCUGUAACUGACGCUGAGGCUCGAAAGCGUGGGGAGCAAACAGG